GUGCCAGCAGCCGCGGUAAUACCGGCAGCCCAAGUGAUGACCGCUGUUAUUGGGCCUAAAGCGUCCGUAGCUGGCCGCACAAGUCCGUCGGGAAAUCCGCCCGCUCAACGGGCGGCCGUCCGGCGGAACCUGUGUGGCUUGGGACCGGGAGGCCUGAGGGGUACGAUCGGGGUAGGAGUGAAAUCCUGUAAUCCCGGACGGACCGCCGGUGGCGAAAGCGCCUCGGGAGGACGGAUCCGACGGUGAGGGACGAAAGCUAGGGUCUCGAACCGGAUUAGAUACCCCGGUAGUCC
rnacentral:rRNA from 1 species